rnacentral:rRNA from 1 species
AUGGAAGGGAACACUAGAGGAGGUGGGCAUUCUGACGCAUUAAAGAACUACAAUGUGGGCAGAACAUUAGGUAUAGGCACAUUUGGAAAAGUGAGGAUUGCAGAGCAUAAGCAUACAGGGCAUAAAGUUGCUAUAAAGAUUCUGAACCGUCGUCAAAUGAGAACUAUGGAAAUGGAGGAGAAAGCAAAGAGAGAGAUCAAGAUAUUGAGGUUGUUCAUCCACCCUCAUAUCAUCCGGCUUUAUGAGGUCAUUUACACACCUACAGAUAUAUUUGUUGUGAUGGAAUAUUGCAAGUAUGGUGAGCUAUUCGACUGCAUUGUUGAGAAAGGGCGGUUACAGGAAGAUGAGGCUCGUCGAAUCUUCCAGCAGAUUAUAUCUGGUGUUGAAUACUGCCACAGAAACAUGGUUGCUCAUCGUGAUCUAAAGCCAGAGAACCUGUUACUUGAUUCCAAAUACAAUGUGAAACUUGCCGACUUUGGGUUAAGUAAUGUCAUGCAUGAUGGCCAUUUUCUGAAGACUAGCUGCGGGAGUCCAAACUAUGCUGCACCAGAGGUUAUCUCAGGUAAAUUAUACGCUGGACCUGAGGUUGAUGUUUGGAGCUGCGGGGUGAUACUUUAUGCUCUUCUUUGUGGCACUCUUCCAUUUGAUGAUGACAAUAUUCCCAAACUGUUCAAAAAGAUAAAGGGAGGCAUCUAUAUCCUUCCAAGUCAUUUAUCUGCUCUUGCAAGGGAUUUGAUCCCAAGAAUGCUUGUUGUUGAUCCUAUGAAGAGAAUCACAAUUCGUGAAAUUCGAGAACACCCAUGGUUUCAGAAUCGCCUUCCUCGCUACCUGGCAGUGCCUCCACCAGACACGGCGCAGCAAGCCAAAAUGAUUGAUGAAGAUACACUUAAAGAGAUUGUCAACCUGGGAUAUGAUAAAGACCAUGUGUGUGAAUCAUUGUGCAAUAGGCUGCAAAAUGAGGCAACUGUUGCAUAUUACUUACUCUUGGACAAUCGGUUCCGGGCCACUAGUGGCUAUUUGGGGGCUGACUAUCUACAAUCAAUGGGUAGGAGUUUUAAUCAGUUUACUUCAUUGGAAUCAGCAAGCCCAAGUACCAGGCAGUAUCUUCCAGCAAGCAAUGAUUCUCAAGGCAGUGGCUUGCGGCCAUAUUACCCCGUUGAAAGAAAAUGGGCUCUUGGGCUCCAGUCUCGAGCUCAACCUCGUGAGAUAAUGAUCGAGGUUCUAAAGGCACUUCAAGAAUUAAAUGUCUGCUGGAAGAAGAAUGGACACUACAACAUGAAAUGCAGGUGGUGCCCUGGGUUUCCUCAGGUCAGUGAUAUGUUAGAUGCCAACCACAGCUUUGUUGAUGACUCUACCAUCAUGGAUAACGGCGAUGCUAAUGGGAGGCUACCUGCCGUGAUCAAGUUUGAAAUCCAGCUUUACAAGACCAAGGAUGACAAGUACCUGCUAGAUAUGCAGAGAGUUACUGGACCUCAGCUCCUCUUCCUGGAUUUUUGCGCGGCCUUCCUUACCAACCUUAGGGUUCUAUAG